CAGCCGCCGCGGUAAUACGUAGGUCCCGAGCGUUGUCCGGAUUUAUUGGGCGUAAAGCGAGCGCAGGCGGUUAGAUAAGUCUGAAGUUAAAGGCUGUGGCUUAACCAUAGUACGCUUUGGAAACUGUUUAACUUGAGUGCAAGAGGGGAGAGUGGAAUUCCAUGUGUAGCGGUGAAAUGCGUAGAUAUAUGGAGGAACACCGGUGGCGAAAGCGGCUCUCUGGCUUGUAACUGACGCUGAGGCUCGAAAGCGUGGGGAGCAAACAGGAUUAGAUACCCCGGUAGUCCCUGUCUCUUAUACA
rnacentral:rRNA from 1 species